GCCUGUCUGGCUCAGUGAAUAGAGCGUCAGCCUGUGGACUGAAGGGUCUCUGGUUCAAUUCCGGUGAAGGGCA
rfam:Myotis lucifugus cont2.42583, whole genome shotgun sequence.